UGGGGAAUAUUGGACAAUGGGGGAAACCCUGAUCCAGCAAUGCCGCGUGUGUGAAGAAGGCCUGAGGGUUGUAAAGCACUUUCAGUGGGGAGGAGGGUUGAUAGGUUAAGAGCUGAUUGACUGGACGUUACCCACAGAAGAAGCACCGGCUAACUCCGUGCCAGCAGCCGCGGUAAUACGGAGGGUGCAAGCGUUAAUCGGAAUUACUGGGCGUAAAGGGUGCGUAGGUUGUUGAGUAAGAUAGCUGUGAAAUUCCUGGGCUUAACCUGGGGUGGUCAGCUAUGACUGCUUGACUCGAGUAUGGGAGAGGGUAGUGGAAUUUCCGGUGUAGCGGUGAAAUGCGUAGAGAUCGGAAGGAACACCAGUGGCGAAGGCGGCUACCUGGCCUGAUACUGACACUGAAGCACGAAAGCGUGGGGAGCAAACAGG
rnacentral:rRNA from 1 species